rnacentral:rRNA from 1 species
UGGGGAAUAUUGCACAAUGGGCGCAAGCCUGAUGCAGCGACGCCGCGUGAGGGAUGACGGCCUUCGGGUUGUAAACCUCUUUCAACGCCGACGAAGCGUAAGUGACGGUAGGCGUAGAAGAAGCACCGGCCAACUACGUGCCAGCAGCCGCGGUAAUACGUAGGGUGCGAGCGUUGUCCGGAAUUACUGGGCGUAAAGAGCUCGUAGGUGGUUUGUCGCGUUGUUCGUGAAAACUCACAACUCAAUUGUGGGCGUGCGGGCGAUACGGGCAGACUGGAGUACUGCAGGGGAGACUGGAAUUCCUGGUGUAGCGGUGGAAUGCGCAGAUAUCAGGAGGAACACCGGUGGCGAAAGGCGGGUCGUCUGGGCAGUAACUGACGCUGAGGAGCGAAAGCGUGGGGAGCGAACAGGAUUAGAUACCCUGGUAGUCCACGCCGUAAACGGUGGGUACUAGGUGUGGGUUUCCUUCCUUGGGAUCCGUGCCGUAGCUAACGCAUUAAGUACCCCGCCG